rnacentral:rRNA from 1 species
UACGUAGGAGGCGAGCGUUGUCCGGAAUUACUGGGCGUAAAUCGCGUGUCGGCGGUCUGAAUAGUCUGCUGUGAAAGCGCCUGGCUUAACCGGGCGAGGUCGGCGGAAACUCUCAGACUGGAGGCCGGUAGAGGGGGGUGGAAUUCCCGGUGUAGUGGUGAAAUGCGUAGAGAUCGGGAGGAACACCUGUGGCGAAGGCGGCCCCCUGGGCCGCGCCUGACGCUGAGACGCGAAGGCUAGGGGAGCGAACGGG